GUGGAGGCCUUGCAUUCAAUGACCAGGGGGAGCGCAUUGGUGUGGCAUUUCAGGUAUGGGCUAUAUAGUUUUUAAAAUCAAACAAAAUGAACCCCUUAAACAAACGAAAACAGAACACGAAACAAACGUGCUGAUGUUGUUAAAGUUGAAAUCUUGUUCGAGGUUUUUCAGCAAGUGCAAUGGAGGAUAUUCGGCAUCUACAAAUUUGCAAAUAAAGAGAAGGCUAGAGUUGCAUAGAGAAUGUUCUGUGUAGAAUUAUACCUGCCAAAUCGUCUCAGGUUCGUCCACCAUCUCCUACGUUUCUCGUUGCUUUUUUUUCUUGUUUUUUGAUCUUCUUUUUUUUUGCUUUAACCUAAUAAUUUUAUUUUUUAUUAAAUUCUUCAUCCUUCUCAUUGUCCUCGCAAGUCACAGUGGCAGAGAAGACCAUUAGCGAUUCUUCAUUUCAGAUUCAAUUUUGAGCCUGUGUGUUGUAAUUUCCGAGCAUUGCUUGCUAUCAAAUUUUUGUUCCAGAGGAGUAUUUAGCUUACAACCAUGUCAGAAGGCUCUACUGUAUUAAGUGUGCUAAAUGUGCUGAAGGAUGAGCCUGGCAGCAGUUCUUUGAAAAGAAGAACUACAAUAUAAGUUGUUCAAUGCCUUGAAUGUAAACAAAUAAUAGAAGUGUGCAUAAUAUUACAAUGUUAAUGUACGGUACUAAUAAUUAUUUUGUUGUAGUUAAUAUCAAUUUUAAACAAAUUCAUGUAAGACUCAUUUUUUCUUCC